rnacentral:rRNA from 1 species
CCUACGUGAGGCUGCAGUGGGGAAUAUUGGGCAAUGGUCGCAAGCCUGACCCAGCAACGCCGCGUGAAGGAAGAAGGCUUUCGGGUUGUAAACUUCGGGUCUCAGGGACGAAGCAAGUGACGGUACCUGAGGAAUAAGCCACGGCUAACUAAGUGCCAGAAGCCGCGGUAAUACGUAGGUGGCAAGCGUUAUCCGGAUUUACGGGGUGGAAAGGGCGUGUAGGCGGGAAAGCAAGUCAGAUGUGAAAACCAUGGGCUCAACCUGUGGCCUGCAUUUGAAAAUGUUUUUCUUGAGUACUGGAGAGGCAGACGGAAUUCCUAGUGUAGCGGUGAAAUGCGUAGAUAUUAGGAGGAACACCAGUGGCGAAGGCGGUCUGCUGGACAGCAACUGACGCUGAGGCGCGAAAGCGUGGGGAGCAAACAGGAUUAGAUACCCGUGUAGUC